CAUUAUAUUUUCGAAAGCAUAGAAAUCAUUGUGUUUUUCAAUUAUUUUUAAUGAUAAGACAUCUGAUUCGACAAUUGACUUCGCCAGACAUAAUAAGCGUUAGUAAAAUUAUUUAAAAACCAAAUUUAUUUUACAUAGUAGAUGAAUCAUACGCUAUAGAUGAUCAACUACUUUGCUAUAUAUAGUGGGUGAAUAAUAUUUUUUUUUUUUAGAAAGAGAUAGUAAGCUAUCUGCUUCAUUCAUUAAGCAAAAUGAACUAAGCAUACAAGGUGGAAGCAGCUAAGGCCUCCGAGGCGAUGCCAAGGAACAAAAAUAGUACAGUAACAGAAUAGAGAUAGAGGAUAAGGAGGAAAUAAGAGAAAAAGUGAGAGAAAAAAAAAGAAAAUUAAGCAGAAUAACAGCAAGCUGUUGCGGUCAGCCGAGCUGUGUCCACAAGUCCGUCAGGCGUAAGAUGCGCUCAAUUGCCUGGGUAGCAUUGAAAGGUUUCGUGCUAAAGAUAAUGUUGUUUCUUUCUGUCCAUAUUACCCACCAGAUUGCCACUAGA
rnacentral:lncRNA from 1 species